AGUUUGCAAAAUAGGUACAUUCAUGAUUAAUAUGUAAAAAUAUGUAAAACACCAUUAAUUAUUUAUUGAAUUAAAAUUAUGAUUUUGUGUUAAAACAUAUGAGGCAAAUUAUACAGCCCGAUUACAUGGGCUACAUAUUAAAAACGAUUAUCAUGGAAACAGUAAAUAUACACAGAUGUCCAAUUACCAGCAAAGUUUUUGAAGAGGUGUAGUUUUUAUAUUUCCUGGUAUCAAACUGAUACAGGAAACUGGAACAUCAGUAAAUAAUCUACACUGAAGAAAAUGAAAUAUAGUCACAGAAUACUUUAAUGUUUUAUUUAAUUGAAGAAAUCGAUCAAAAAAAUGUGUUAACUGAAAAA